GCGACCGGCCUCCCAAGAAGACGUAAAAAGAAGCAGAAAAACCGCUCCAACAGACGCUCGUGCUUCCGUUACACAGACCGUUAUCCGAACCGUUUCCAACCGUAAGUUCACAUUCCUUCACGGGAAAGAAGGAAACCCGGAGAAGUUUCAGAAGUUUACAUUAAAAUUCGUCGACAUUGGGAUCCAAAAUGCAGUAAACCGGCAGUCCGUUUGCGGGAAAAA